CUCGUAGGCGGUUUGUCGCGUCGGGAGUGAAAUCCACUGGCUUAACUGGUGGCUUGCUUUCGAUACGGGCAGACUGGAGGUAUGCAGGGGAGAACGGAAUUCCUGGUGUAGCGGUGAAAUGCGCAGAUAUCAGGAGGAACACCGGUGGCGAAGGCGGUUCUCUGGGCAUGUCCUGGCGCUGAGGAGCGGAAGUGUGGGGAGCGAACA
rnacentral:rRNA from 1 species